GCGAAAGCGAGUUUUAACUGAGCGUUCAGUUACUUGACGUAGACCCGAAACCGGGCGACCUACCCAUGAGCAGGAUGAAGCGAAAGUAAAAUUUCGUGGAGGUCCGAACCCACGAGCGUUGAAAAGCUCGGGGAUGACUUGUGGGUAGCGGUGAAAUUCCAAUCGAGCCCGGAGAUAGCUGGUUCUCCCCGAAAUAGCUUUAGGGCUAGCCUCAAGGUGAGAGAUACGGAGGUAGAGCACUGAAUGUCCUAGGGGGUAUUGCACCUACCGAAGACUAUCAAACUCCGAAUGCCGUCAUCUUAUACUUGGGAGUCAGACUGUGGGUGAUAAGAUUCAUAGUCGAAAGGGCAACAGCCCAGAUCGUCAGCUAAGGUCCCUAAAUGUAAGUUAAGUGGUAAAGGAUGUGGGAUUGCACAGACAACCAGGAUGUUGGCUUAGAAGCAGCCACUCAUUCAAAGAGUGCGUAAUAGCUCACUGGUCGAGUGAUCCUGCGCCGAAGAUUUCCGGGGCUAAAACUUACUACCGAAGCUACGGCAUCAGUAAUGAUGGGUAGGGGAGCUUCCCAUACGGGUUGAAGCAUGACCGUAAGGACAUGUGGACAGUAUGGGAGUGAGAAUGUUGGCAUGAGUAGCGAGAUGUGGGUGAGAAUCCCACAGGCCGUAAACCCAAGGUUUCCAGGGGAAGGUUCGUCCGCCCUGGGUUAGUCGGGACCUAAGCUGAGGCCGAAAGGCGUAGGUGAUGGACAACAGGUUGAUAUUCCUGUAC
rnacentral:rRNA from 1 species